ACUUAUUCUCAGGGCGGGGUGCAAGUCCCCACCGGCGGUAUCCCAGAUGAUUCUGGGGAGCCCGCGAGCGCUCCUUUUGUUUAAAAAGGAGGUCAGCAGAUCUGGUUUAAAUCCAGAGCCGACGGUAUAGUCCGGAUGAAAGAGGAUAAGG
rnacentral:ncRNA from 2 species